rnacentral:rRNA from 1 species
GACGAACCGUGCGAAAGUUAUUCGGAAUCACUGGGCGUAAAGCGCGUGUAGGCGGUCCGGUAAGUCCGCUGUGAAAGUCGGGGGCUCAACCCUCGGAUGCCGGUGGAUACUGUCGGGCUUGAGUACGGAAGAGGCGAGUGGAAUUCCUGGUGUAGCGGUGAAAUGCGCAGAUAUCAGGAGGAACACCAAUUGCGAAGGCAGCUCGCUGGGACGUUACUGACGCUGAGACGCGAAAGCGUGGGGAGCAAACAGG